UACGUAGGGGGCAAGCGUUGUCCGGAUUUAUUGGGCGUAAAGAGCGUGUAGGCGGCCAAGCAGGUCCGCUGUGAAAACUCGAGGCUCAACCUCGAGACGUCGGUGGAAACCGUUUGGCUAGAGUCCGGAAGAGGAGAGUGGAAUUCCUGGUGUAGCGGUGAAAUGCGCAGAUAUCAGGAGGAACACCCGUGGCGAAAGCGGCUCUCUGGGACGGUACUGACGCUGAGACGCGAAAGCGUGGGGAGCGAACAGG
rnacentral:rRNA from 1 species